GACGAACGCUGGCGGCGUGCUUAACACAUGCAAGUCGAACGGAAAGGCCCUGCUUUUGUGGGGUGCUCGAGUGGCGAACGGGUGAGUAACACGUGAGUAACCUGCCCUUGACUUUGGGAUAACUUCAGGAAACUGGGGCUAAUACCGGAUAGGAGCUCCUGCUGCAUGGUGGGGGUUGGAAAGUUUCGGCGGUUGGGGAUGGACUCGCGGCUUAUCAGCUUGUUGGUGGGGUAGUGGCUUACCAAGGCUUUGACGGGUAGCCGGCCUGAGAGGGUGACCGGCCACAUUGGGCCUGAGGUAGGGCCCAGACGCGAACGGGGGGCAGCGGGGGGGAAUAUUGCACAAUGGGCGGAAGCCUGAUGCAGAAACGCCGGGUGCGGAAUGCCGGCCUUCGGGUUGAAAACCGCUUUCGCCUGUGACGAAGCGUGAGUGACGGUAAUGGGUAAAGAAGCACCGGCUAACUACGUG
rnacentral:rRNA from 1 species